AUGCUCACUUUGGCAGCUCAUAUGCUAAAAUUAGAAUGAUAGAAGAUUAGCAUGGUCCCUGCACAGGGAUGACACGCAAAUUCAUGAAGCAGUUCAUAGUAAA
ensembl:snRNA U6 U6 spliceosomal RNA